rnacentral:rRNA from 1 species
GAUGAACGCUGGCGGCGUGCUUAACACAUGCAAGUCGAACGGAAAGGCCCAAGCUUGCUUGGGUACUCGAGUGGCGAACGGGUGAGUAACACGUGGGUGAUCUGCCCUGCACUUCGGGAUAAGCCUGGGAAACUGGGUCUAAUACCGGAUAGGACGAUGGUUUGGAUGCCAUUGUGGAAAGUUUUUUCGGUGUGGGAUGAGCUCGCGGCCUAUCAGCUUGUUGGUGGGGUAAUGGCCUACCAAGGCGUCGACGGGUAGCCGGCCUGAGAGGGUGUACGGCCACAUUGGGACUGAGAUACGGCCCAGACUCCUACGGGAGGCAGCAGUGGGGAAUAUUGCACAAUGGGCGCAAGCCUGAUGCAGCGACGCCGCGUGGGGGAUGACGGUCUUCGGGUUGUAAACUCCUUUCGCUAGGGACGAAGCGUUUUUGUGACGGUACCUGAAGAAGAAGCACCGGCUAACUACGUG